UGCCUAAUGCUGCGCGGCAUCAUUAUCUGCAUAUAAUAUGGGUAUCAGUAUAUACGUUGAAGGGUCUAAACAAGACAGAAAAGGUAAGAAGAAGAAGCAUGUAUCUUUGAAUAUGAAGAUAUACAAACAUGGAUAAAAAAGGGCAGUUAGUGCAAUCAGCCUAUAACUUUACCAGAUGAUGUUCGUAAUACCUAUAAUGAUAAAGAUAGAGCUAAUGGGA
rnacentral:lncRNA from 1 species